UACUGAGGAUCCGAGCGUUAUCCGGAUUUAUUGGGUUUAAAGGGUGCGUAGGUGGAUUGGUAAGUCAGUGGUGAAAGUUUGCAGCUUAACUGUAAAAUUGCCGUUGAAACUGCCGGUCUUGAGUGCAAAUGAGGUAGGCGGAAUGCGUCGUGUAGCGGUGAAAUGCUUAGAUAUGACGCAGAACUCCGAUUGCGAAGGCAGCUUACUGGGAUGCAACUGACGCUGAGGCACGAAAGCGUGGGUAUCAAACAGGAUUAGA
rnacentral:rRNA from 1 species